GACGCUGGCGGCGUGCCUAAUACAUGCAAGUCGAGCGAACAGAUAAGGAGCUUGCUCCUUUGACGUUAGCGGCGGACGGGUGAGUAACACGUGGAUAACCUACCUAUAAGACUGGGAUAACUUCGGGAAACCGGAGCUAAUACCGGAUAAGAUUUUGAACCGCAUGGUUCAAUAGUGAAAGACGGCCUUGCUGUCACUUAUAGAUGGAUCCGCGCCGUAUUAGCUAGUUGGUAAGGUAACGGCUUACCAAGGCAACGAUACGUAGCCGACCUGAGAGGGUGAUCGGCCACACUGGAACUGAGACACGGUCCAGACUCCUACGGGAGGCAGCAGUAGGGAAUCUUCCGCAAUGGGCGAAAGCCUGACGGAGCAACGCCGCGUGAGUGAUGAAGGUCUUCGGAUCGUAAAACUCUGUUAUCAGGGAAGAACAAACGUGUAAGUAACUGUGCACGUCUUGACGGUACCUGAUCAGAAAGCCACGGCUAACUACGUGCCAGCAGCCGCGGUAAUACGUAGGUGGCAAGCGUUAUCCGGAAUUAUUGGGCGUAAAGCGCGCGUAGGCGGUUUUUUAAGUCUGAUGUGAAAGCCCACGGCUCAACCGUGGAGGGUCAUUGGAAACUGGAAAACUUGAGUGCAGAAGA
rnacentral:rRNA from 1 species